rnacentral:tRNA from 1 species
CGGGUUGUGGUGUAACGGAAGCAUCCCUGACUUUUAAUCAGGUGGGUGUGGGUUCGAAUCCCUCCGGCCCGAC